AGUUUCAGAUUGUGUAACAAUGGCAGGUACAGCUUCUACGCAAGAUGUCAUGGUGCCAUGUUUUGUAUAGUGAUUGCAUUAUAAAUGCCUCACGAUGAGAGAAGAUCACCCUGAAGUAAGUUAUAUCCAACAAUGCAAGAAAGACCUGAGUCCAGCUGUGUUUAUGAAAAGUAACCAGUCAAUCGAACACCCAGUAAACCUGAAGGAUAAAGACACUUGGGACCACAGGUAUAAUGCACUGGAUCAAACAUAACCAUAUAAAUAUUCCUCUGUAUUCAUGACAAUUUACAGCCAUUAGGUAAAUUGAAAAUUAUUUUACAAUAGAAAUUGUU